CCCAAAAAAAAAAAAGUCCGUUUGCGUAACCACCACACCAUUCAAUUAUCAUUUCAAUUCAAUUAUUUCACUCACCUUACAAUUCACAACACCUUCUCUUCUAUUUGUUACCACAAUUUUCUGGAUUAUAUCAUUUCUGUCUUUCUUUCUCUUUCAUUCAUUUAGGCGAUUCCUCUGAUUUCCUCCUCUCAAAUCCAAAUCCCCUCUCUCUGAUGAUCUGACAUGGUUGAAGUCUUUGCACCUGAAUCAAACUAUUGAAUCUUGAGGCUUGCUGAGCUGAUUUCUUCUUCCUCUUUAGUUGGGUUCAAUGUGCUCCUCAUGGUUGCCUCAAUUAUAGCUACAUCUCUGGAGGCUUUAGAAUUUUACUUGAUAACUGCGCUUUGCAUUUUCACAAAAAUAAGAUCAUGUUCUCACGUUGCUUUGUACAAUCUUGUUGGCUUUCUGGUAGUUGAACUGAUCUGAUAUUUACCCUUUUGCAAUCUACG